GGAUGUGAGGGCGAUCUGGCCAUGAUAUCUGUCACCCCAUUGAUCACCAGGGUUGAUUCGGCUGAUCUGCCUGGCUAGGUGGGUGUCCUCUUUCUCCCUCAACACUCCAUGUGUGUUCCUCCCUAAGGUGCACGCUCAGCCAAAGAGGAUGGCCUUCCCCGAAUAAAUUUCAAAAGAAUUAUAUGUUUUUAUGUUUU
rnacentral:snRNA from 1 species